rnacentral:sRNA from 1 species
GCAGUCGCAGGACGGGCGCUUUGGAGCCGAUCCCAGGUAGUGUGUGUCGGUCGCCUCGUCUGGAGAACUACUCCUCGACUCACGGUGAGGGAAUGGACCGGCACGGGGGUUGUAUCGCUGAGGGAAAGGAGCGGGACUCCGGACCUCCAGGAGUGCAAGGAUGAUGCUGAAAGGAAUAACAAGGCUUAUCUCUAGGAUCCAUAAGUUGGACCCUGGGCGUUUUUUACACAUGGGGACCCAGGCUCGCCAAAGCAUUGCUGCUCACCUAGAUAACCAGGUUCCAGUUGAGAGUCUGAGAGCUAUUUCCCGCACCAAUGAGAAUGACCCGGCCAAGCAUGGGGAUCAGCACGAGGGUCAGCACUACAACAUCUCCCCCCAGGAUUUGAAGACUGUAUUUCCCCAUGGCCUUCCUCCUCGCUUUGUGAUGCAGGUGAAGACAUUCAGUGAAGCUUGCCUGAUGGUAAGGAAACCAGCCCUAGAACUUCUGCAUUACCUGAAAAACACCAAUUUUGCUUACCCGGCUGUACGAUAUCUUCUGUAGCAGUCUGAGCUCAUCCAUCAUGAUUUCUUCAUGAUAUUACUGCCAAGCAGAUUACAAGGUGAAGUCAAUGUGACAAAAGGAAAUUCGGCUAAAAGCUUCCUGAAGCCUUUUGAUGCUAAGCAGUCCUUCUUUUGAUAUUUAAUACCCAUGAGCAUAAACUUCUGCCUUAGAGGUCGCCAUGGAGUUUUGUUUUGUU